rnacentral:misc_RNA from 1 species
GAUGAAGAACGUAGUAAAAUGUGAUAAGUAAUGUGAAUUGCAGAAUUCAGUGAAUCAUCGAAUCUUUGAACGCACAUUGCGCCCGCCAGUAUUCUGGCGGGCAUGCCUGUUCGAGCGUCAUUUCAACCCUCAAGCACAGCUUGGUGUUGGGACUCGCGUUAAUUCGCGUUCCUCAAAUUGAUUGGCGGUCACGUCGAGCUUCCAUAGCGUAGUAGUAAAACCCUCGUUACUGGUAAUCGUCGCGGCCACGCCGUUAAACCCCAACUUCUGAAUGUUGACCUCGGAUCAGGUAGGAAUACCCGCUGAACUUAAGCAUAUCAAUAAGCGGAGGA